rnacentral:rRNA from 1 species
UACGGAGGGUGCGAGCGUUAUUCGGAAUCAUUGGGCGUAAAGGGCGUGUAGGUGGUUUGUUAAGUCAUGUGUGAAAGCCCCCGGCUCAACCGGGGAAAUGCGCAUGAAACUGACAAACUAGAGUACCGAAGAGGAGGGUGGAAUUCCAGGUGUAGCGGUGAAAUGCGUAGAUAUCUGGAGGAACACCGGUGGCGAAGGCGGCCUUCUGGUCGGAUACUAACGCUAAAACGCGAAAGCGUGGGGAGCAAACAGG